rnacentral:rRNA from 1 species
CUACGGGCGGCUGCAGUGAGGAAUAUUGCACAAUGGGGGAAACCCUGAUGCAGCAACGCCGCGUGGAGGAUGACGCAUUUCGGUGUGUAAACUCCUUUUAUGAGUCAAGAAAAUGACGGUAGCUCAUGAAUAAGCACCGGCUAACUCCGUGCCAGCAGCCGCGGUAAUACGGAGGGUGCAAGCGUUACUCGGAAUCACUGGGCGUAAAGGACGCGUAGGCGGGAUGUCAAGUCGGGUGUGAAAUCCUAUGGCUCAACCAUAGAACUGCACUUGAAACUGGCAACCUAGAGUAUGGGAGGGGGAGAUGGAAUUAGUGGUGUAGGGGUAAAAUCCGUAGAUAUCACUAGGAAUACCGAAAGCGAAGGCGAUCUCCUGGAACAUUACUGACGCUAAGGCGUGAAAGCGUGGGGAGCAAACACGAUUAGAUACCCUCGUAGUC